rnacentral:rRNA from 1 species
AUACGGAGGGAGCAAGCGUUGUUCGGAAUCAUUGGGCGUAAAGCGGGUGUAGGUGGCUUGGAAAGUCGGAUGUGAAAUCCCGGGGCUCAACCCUGGAACUGCAUUCGAAACUUCCUGGCUAGAGUCCCGGAGAGGAAGGCAGAAUUCCCGGUGUAGAGGUGAAAUUCGUAGAUAUCGGGAGGAAUACCAGUGGCGAAGGCGGCCUUCUGGACGGUGACUGACAAUCAGACCCGAAAGCGUGGGUAGCGAACAGGAUUAGAUACCCGGGUAGUCC